rnacentral:rRNA from 1 species
CCUACGGGAGGCAGCAGUGAGGAAUAUUGGUCAAUGGACGAGAGUCUGAACCAGCCAAGUAGCGUGAAGGAUGACUGCCCUAUGGGUUGUAAACUUCUUUUAUAUGGGAAUAAAAUGUUCCACGUGUGGGAUGUUGUAUGUACCAUAUGAAUAAGGAUCGGCUAACUCCGUGCCAGCAGCCGCGGUAAUACGGAGGAUCCGAGCGUUAUCCGGAUUUAUUGGGUUUAAAGGGAGCGUAGGUGGACUGUUAAGUCAGUUGUUAAAGUUUGCGGCUCAACCGUAACAUUGCAGUUGAAACUGGCAGUCUUGAGUACAGUAGAGGUGGGCGGAAUUCGUUGUGUAGCGGUGAAAUGCUUAGAUAUCACGAAGAACUCCGAUAGCGAAGGCAGCUCACUGGACUGCAACUGACACUGAUGCUCGAGAGUGUGGGUAUCAAACAGGAUUAGAUACCCGUGUAGUC